rnacentral:rRNA from 1 species
AUUGAACGCUGGCGGCAGGCCUAACACAUGCAAGUCGAACGAGUGGCGUACGGGUGAGUAAUGUCUGGGAUACUGCUCGAUGGAGGGGGAUAACUACUGGAAACGGUAGCUAAUCCCGCAUACCAUCGGAUGUGCCCCGAUGGGAGUAGCUAGUGGGGGGGGUAACGGCUCACCUAGGCGACGAUCCCUAGCUGGACAGAGAGGAUGACCAGCCACACUGGAACUGAGACACGGUCCAGACUCCUACGGGAGGCAGCAGUGGGGAAUAUUGCACAAUGGGCGAAAGCCUGAUGCAGCCAUGCCGCGUGUAUGAAGAAGGCCUUCGGGUUGUAAAGUACUUUCAGCGAGGAGGCGUUACUCGCAGAAGAAGCACCGGCUAACUCCGUGCCAGCAGCCGCGGUAAUUC